CGCAAUAAACCAAGCACUCUAGAUGCCCUCAACUAUGCUCUCCGCUGUGUCCACAGCGUUCAAGCAAACAGUGAGUUUUUCCAGAUUCUCAGUCAGAAUGGAGCACCUCAGGCAGAUGUGAGCAUGUACAGUCUUGAGGAGCUGGCCACUAUCGCUUCAGAACACACUUCCAAAAACACAUUCCAAUACCUACUACUUCAAGUUGUAACAACUGGAUGUUAUAGAACAGGAUACCUUUGUGGCAGUAUUUUCAUUUCUGUCUGGAAGGUUAGUGCACAUUUCUGAACAGGCUGCUUUGAUCCUGAAUCGUAAGAAAGAUGUCCUGGCGUCUUCUCACUUUGUUGACCUGCUUGCACCUCAAGACAUGAGGGUAUUCUACGCGCACACUGCCAGAGCUCAGCUUCCUUUCUGGAACAACUGGACCCAAAGAGGUAACAGGACCAAUGUUCAGAUGUCUAUCUUUCCUCAUCAAGAUCAGUUUCAUUCUUACAGGAAUAGUACAGAAAUUAACAUAUUAUUUAGA
rnacentral:lncRNA from 1 species